UGCAGUUCAACUACGUGUGCCGCUGCGCGAAUGGCUACUUCGUGCACAGCACGGUGGACCAGUUCAGCGGCGAGAGCAGGCCGGUGACGCUCGCGCUCGGCGGUGAAGAGAUGAUCCGAGGCCUGAGAGACGUCC